CCCUCCACAUUCACUCGUCUUCGGGCCACAGCUCGCGGUAGUGUCCCUGUUCCCACGGGCCCCGCCGUCCUGAGUUCAUCUUCGGGCGCUUGUCCGCGUCUCGCCCCUCACCUGAGCCCGAACUUCGCGCGGCCGUCGCCUAACAGCCCUGGCGGGUGUGGAGACCCCUGCGUGACCGGGGGCGGCGGGAGGGCCGCAGCGUAGGUCACCAGCCGUGUGGUUUCUCUUUCCGCAGGAAUCCUUCACACGGAGAACGAGUGUGCGUCUGUCCGCUCCUCCGGAAAUGGCCAAGGCGCUUUAUUAAAGAGCCGGCCUGGUUUGCUAUCUCCCAUGAUACUGCUCUUUAGUUAAAAGAGUGGUCAGUCCAAAAUGCUUUUCAGCUGUAGGAUCUUCAGGUUCUAAUGAAGCUCACGUGGCUACUUUAACUCCAGGCUGUCAAACAGUUGUGGCCUGAUGAAACUGUGGGACUAUUUGGCCCUCGGGAUCAGAGAUUCCAGCAUCCUGGAAACAUAGGUUUUGAUUGUCACCUCAGUGGAACUGCUUCCCAGAAGAAAAACCAGAUUCAUAAAACUUUGCCUGAUGUUCUAGCAGAACCUUUAUCAGCUGAAAGACAUGAAUUUGUGAUGACACAGUAUGUGAAUGAGUUUCAGGUUUGAACUGAGAGCCUACACCUUGAGCCUAUUCACCAGCCCCUUUUUUUGUUUUGUUUUGUUUUGUUUUGUUUUGUGCUGGGUAUUUUCGAGGUAGGUUCUCUGGAACUAUUUCCCCAUGCUCAUUUAUCUCUGCCUCCUGAGUAGCUAGGACUGCAGACAUGAGCCACCAGCGCCAGGCGCGUUUUGUUUAAAUUUUGUAACUAGGAAUUGCACUAUAUAGUUUCAGGUAGAGUUUUUGAUCAAAGACAUUUUGUUAGAAACAAUAAUCCCUCACAGUUACUAUGAUUUUAUUAGAUGACCUGACAUUGGGACCCAGUUGACUUUGCCUGUCUUUAUACCUUAAAUAAUUCUUUCUCAGUCUUCUUGGUUUUUUUGUUCCUCCUCUGCCUACCAAAUUUAUUUGAAAGUGCCAGAGUUGAGUGUGCAAUCCAAAUAUGCCCAGAAUUGCUAUGAAGAGGUAUGUCACACUUUCCGCAUGGAGACAUUAAACAUGCAGUAGGUAAUACUAAUUUUUCAUCUGCCAAGUAAAGUGCUCUGUAGUAAUCCUGAUGCUCUGUACCUUAAUAUUUAAUGCGUCUGUCAACCAAACUGAGUUCAUUUUACUUUUCAAAUAUAAUGUGUAUUUGUAAAAAUGACUUAGUACAAUAAUUUAACUUAGUCCUUAAUUUUCUAAGGUUAUUUUUAUGAAGUAUGUGUCUUUCUAAAAAGCAAAGUAUUUCAUUUUUAGAUUUUGAAUCACUAUUUCCUGAAGUGGCUGAUAGCAAACUAAUGACUCUGUUACACAGAAAACUAACGGUGAUAUGACUGUUUGGAGUGAAGAAGUAGAACUUGAAAGAGAAAUGUUUAUAGAAAAGUAAUUUUUUAAAGUUGCUAAUUUUACGAUCUGAUUUCAGUACCCUUUAAGUAGUGCUUUAAAAUGAUGAAUUUUUUCCAAUUCACUUUGUGAAGUAUUUCAAAAUACUGAAAAUUGUAAGUAUUUUGUUUGAGAAUUUAAGCUCCUAAAAUUUUUAGUUUCCUUGAAAAACUUAGAUUCCAUUCAUUACUCUCCUGAAUCUUUCUAAAGUUUGUCAUCUUUCUCUUUGUUUUUCUCUCUCUCUCAGCGUCUCUCUUUCCUUCUCCUCUCUCUCUCUCCUCCCCUCCUUUCCACCUCUUUACCUUCCCCACAUUAUAGUAUAUCAAGUAAAUAGCAUUACUCCAAAUUAUCUCCAAGGAGUAAGUAGUAAUAGUAUAUAGUACAAUAGUAGGACUGGGCAUGGUGGUGCAUGCCUGUGAUCCCAGCUACUCAGGAGGCAGAGACAGAGGAUGAAGGUUUUUGGCCAAUCCAGGCAAAGAAGUUUUAGGAAGACCAUAUAGUGAUUCCAGUAUAAUUCUCAUUUUUCUUUAACAAGUUGUAGGGCUUUGAAAUAGCAACUGUGUAAUCUUGAGAUUUAUAAUGUUAUAUUUACUGAAACCAUUUCAGUUUCUAUAAAAAAGCAUUCAGUUGAAGUAUUUCAGUGAUUAUUUUGGAAGCACCCCCUAGCUAAUUCUCCAAGUACAUUUGUUUUUAUGGCUUAACCUAUUAGCAUUUUUUCCAGCACAUGUCAGUAUUUCCUGUUGAACAUAAAUCUGAAGAGAAACACUUAAACUGAUUCUUCUUGUAAUAAUUUCAUAUUCUUUUAGUCAACCGUUAUAAAUAUUUGAUUGUAUUGUUCUGCUCUCCUUGUAGUUUUUACGUAUAGCACAUCUUUUUAUGAAAUUGAAGUAUGUUCUAAUGACUAUUCUUAUUUUUAAGAAUUACAAGGAUUAAUAAGGUGUAGUAAUAGGUUAUAAUAUGAGCAUUAGCCUACAGAAUACAGUUUUAUUUAGUGUCAUGUUAAUCAUUACUUUACCAGUAGAUGCAGGGAAAAAAUACGUUAACAUAGAUGUUGUGCCUCUGUAAUAGGGGUCAGUGUAUUUUCUGUAAAAAGUAAAAGUCAAAAUUACAACAAAUUUAGUUUCAUAACAAGAAAAACUUUUGAGAAAUUAAACUAAACAAAGUUUAUUUGAACAAAGGAUGAUUUAGAAACGGGCAGCCCACACAACUAGAAUGAGUUCAGAGAGAUCUGCAGUGCCUUGGGAGGCAGAAGGGAGCAGUAAGAUCCAGAAACAACUCUGAGCUUGCCUUAUUUGUACAGUCAUUGAACAGCCUGUGACUAGGUAACACUUAGCUUUUUUGUUGUUACAAAAUGUAUUCCUAUGUUUGGCUUUCUUAUGUACUAAUUCUGGUUGCAGUAUGUUGAGACUGGAGGUAGGGAGGCAGCCUCAGGCCAGUUUUAACAGUCUACAUAUCUAGGUGGCUUUCUCAUUCUGUAAAAUAGAAUGAAUGCUCCCAUAAGCUGAGCAGAGGAUUUAGGCUGUGUACGUAGAAAAGGUCUGAAGAAAGUAGAAACGUAGAACCUCCUCUUUCAACGUUCCUUUCCUUCUAAGGUAAAAAUAAAUGGGACUUUCUCAUGAUACUGGCUCAGGUAAAUUUGGCCCCUCUGAUUGACUGCUACCAAUCUCCUGGCCUUUUUUCUUUUUUGAAAACUGGCCUGUUUCAUAGAGAGUUUGAUAGCUGAUUAUGUGGCAGGUAGCAUGAAGACUACAUUCUGGUUUGGUCUGUUCUGCUUGUGCCCAGAACAAAAAGAGUGACCUCCCAUAAACUUUGUUUAACAAAGAUAGGCUCCGAGACUAAUUGGAUGCCUGAAACUCAAAGAUGCCCCAUGUAUGCCUCAAUUCUAAUAUAACCAAAUAGGGCUCAUUAUCUCCUUCCAUGCAUGUUAUCUCCAUCAAAGGUAUAUUUCCUGCCUUCUCUAUUUCAAAAUUGAACCACUGCUUGCUGCCAUCACAUGCAGUUUUCAAAUACCAUCUGUUGUCCUUAAAUCUUUAAGUCCAUUCUCUUUUAUCGUUCCUGCUUCUGGUGUCUUAGUUCAAAAAAUAAUGACUUGAAAUCAACUUAUUUUCUGAAACUAGCAUUGGAGCCCUUAUUUACAUUUACCAAUCCAUUUUCCAUCUGUGUUUGUUUAGCUUUACAAUGCAAAGGUCAUUUAUAUUCAUCUGAUAAGAAUUUCCCAAUGUCUCUGUGUAAUGUAUAGCUUUUUAAUUUAACAUAAAAAUUAUUUCAUUUUCAGCCUGCCAGUGCACCUUCUCAAACUCACCUCUCAAAACUUGCCCUUACACACUGUUGCUCCAUUUCACUACUUGAACUAUGAAACCUCUGUAUAUCCUCCCAAUGCCUUUAGCAUACUAUUUUAUUAAACUGAAAUACCCUCCCCUUUUUUAGUCUAAGGAAAUCCACAUCAUUUUUUAAACGGAAGUUAUUUUGAAGUUUUCCUUUAAACACCAGCUUGCUCUCUUCUCUAUUUCUACCAUAACUACCAUAUGCUUUUAGUAUAAAAAAAUGCAUAGCCUUGAACAAUUGUAUUGUAUUAUAUUUGCCUUAGGAGUGGGACACAUAUUUAUCAACUGUGUUUUCUUCAGAGAUUAGUACAGUAAUAGUACACAGGACAGACUGAAAAUACAUUUCUUUAUUAACUACUGACAGGAUGACUUUUUUGUCUGGUCAACUGAGAAACCGUUAAAUGCCUACUGUUUAUGAAUAUGUAAACUAGUUGCUAGAUGAAGGAAGACUAGAGAGAGGAAGGAACAAAGAAGUAGGAGAACCGCAAAUAUUAAAAUUUCAUUUGGAAGAAAUUUCUGGUUUUCAAAAAUCUUACGGCCCCACGGUGAUCACUGGAUAAGGAUGUGAUUAUAGAUCUCGCUUUAAGUAUGGAACCUGCAGUCAAGGUCACCAGGUGUCCAUCUCCACAAGGCAGAAGCCUUAGUGCCUGAAUCCACAUCUUGCAGGCACACCUGUAAAUCUUCAUUAGAAAUUUGACUUGUGGAGCUAAUACAGAAGUCUUAAAGCAACAGAGUCUAUCAUGAGAAGGGGAUCGGAAACCAGGGUAAAAUUCAGUUAGAGGUGAAUCAACAUGGGUCAUAACACAUGUACACGAAAGCGAUGCUAGGAAUAUUUCUGGAUAGCUGUCCUUAACUAGCAAAAAUACUUUGUCUUCCUUAUUAUGCUUGUCUCUGUUCUUCACCAAAAUUAGUCAUACAGGCAGAAAAGGACCUGCCUGGAACUG